GGCGUCAUUGUGUAGUUGAUCAACGCGUCGGCGUGUAUAGCCUGAAGGUCGCUGGUUUGAAUCCAGCCGAUGUAA
rnacentral:tRNA from 1 species